ACCCGUUGAUCCUGCGGGAGUUUGCUGCUAUGAGGAUUCGACUAAGCCAUGCAAGUCAAGGGGUUCUUCGGAACACCGGCAGAACGCUCAGUAACACGUUGAUAAUCUACCCUUAGAUUCGGGAUACCCUCGGUAAACUGAGGUUAAGAUCGAAUAGGAGACACAUCCUGGGAUGGAGUGUCUUUGAAACAUUAGGUCUAAGGAUGAGUCAGCAGCUGAUUAGGUUGUUGGUGAGGUAAUGGCUCACCAAGCCUGAGAUCAGUAGGGGCCGUGAGAGCGGUAGCCUCGAGAAGGGUACUGAGAAACUGACCCUAGCCCUACGGGGUGCAGCAGGCGCGAAACCUUUACAAUGCACGAAAGUGUGAUAAGGGAAUCCUCAGUGCUUAUGCUCAGCAUAGGCUUUUUUUAAGUGUAAAUAACUUGAAGAAUAAGUGGUGGGUAAGUAUGGUGCCAGCCGCCGCGGUAACACCAUCGCCACGAGUGGUAAACAUAAUUAUUGGGCCUAAAGCGUUCGUAGCUGGUUUAUUAAAUUCUUUGUGAAAUCGUUGUGCUUAACGCAACGGCGUGCAUAGAACACUAGUAGACUAGGGACCGGGAGAAGUCAGAAGUAUUCUAGGGGGAGCGGUAAGAUGUUAUAAUCCCUGGAGGACUACCUGUGGCGAAGGCGUCUGACUAGAACGGAUCCGACAGUGAGGAACGAAAGCCAGGGGAGCGAACCGGAUUAGAUACCCGAGUAGUCCUGGCCGUAAACGCUGCGAGCAAGGUGUUGCAUAUCUCACGUAGGUAUGCAGCGUCGAAACGAAGGUGUUAAGCUCGCCGCCUGGGAAGUACGGUCGCAAGGCUGAAACUUAAAGGGAUUGGCGGGGGAGCACCACAAGGGGUGCGGCGUGCGGUUUAAUCUAACUCAACACAGAGAAUCUCACCAGAAGCGACGGCAGGAUGAAAGUCAGUCUAAAGGGCUUACUUGACGAGCCGAGAGGUAGUGCAUGGCCGCCGUCAGCUCGUGCUGUAAAGUGUCCUGUUAAGUCAGGCAACGAGCGAGACCUGUAUUUACAAUUGCUAGCGAGCAUUUUUGCGAUCGAGCACAUUGUGAGGACUGCCUUCGAAAGGAGGAGGAAGGUUCAGGCAACGGUAGGUCUGUAUGCUCCGAAUCUUCUGGGCUACACGCGCGCAACAAUGGCAUAGACAAUGGGCUACAACUCCGUAAGGAGAAGUUAAUCCUCGAAACUAUGUCUAAGUUCAGAUUGAGGUUUGUAAUUCAGCCUCAUGACGAUGGAAUCCCUAGUAAUUGGACUUUAUCAGAGUCCAGUGAAUGUGUCCCUGCUCCUUGCACACACCGCCCGUCAAACCAACCGAGCAGUGUCUUGAUGAGGCUUAGUUUUUUUGAUUAAGUCGAAUUUAGGCUCAGCAAGGUGGGUUAAGUCGUCACAAGGUA
rnacentral:rRNA from 1 species